rnacentral:rRNA from 1 species
AUUGAACGCUGGCGGCAUGCCUUACACAUGCAAGUCGAACGGUAACGGGUCCUUCGGGAUGCCGACGAGUGGCGAACGGGUGAGUAAUAUAUCGGAACGUGCCCAGUAGUGGGGGAUAACUGCUCGAAAGAGCAGCUAAUACCGCAUACGACCUGAGGGUGAAAGGGGGGGAUCGCAAGACCUCUCGCUAUUGGAGCGGCCGAUAUCAGAUUAGCUAGUUGGUGGGGUAAAGGCCUACCAAGGCAACGAUCUGUAGUUGGUCUGAGAGGACGACCAGCCACACUGGGACUGAGACACGGCCCAGACUCCUACGGGAGGCAGCAGUGGGGAAUUUUGGACAAUGGGCGCAAGCCUGAUCCAGCAAUGCCGCGUGCAGGAAGAAGGCCUUCGGGUUGUAAACUGCUUUUGUCAGGGAAGAAAUCUUCUGGGCUAAUACCCCGGGAGGAUGACGGUACCUGAAGAAUAAGCACCGGCUAACUACGUGCCAGCAGCCGCGGUAAUACGUAGGGUGCGAGCGUUAAUCGGAAUUACUGGGCGUAAAGCGUGCGCAGGCGGCUUUGCAAGACAGAUGUGAAAUCCCCGGGCUCAACCUGGGAACUGCAUUUGUGACUGCAAGGCUAGAGUACGGCAGAGGGGGAUGGAAUUCCGCGUGUAGCAGUGAAAUGCGUAGAUAUGCGGAGGAACACCAAUGGCGAAGGCAAUCCCCUGGGCCUGUACUGACGCUCAUGCACGAAAGCGUGGGGAGCAAACAGGAUUAGAUACCCUGGUAGUCCACGCCCUAAACGAUGUCAACUGGUUGUUGGACGGCUUGCUGUUCAGUAACGAAGCUAACGCGUGAAGUUGACCGCCUGGGGAGUACGGCCGCAAGGUUGAAACUCAAGGGAAUUGACGGGGACCCGCACAAGCGGUGGAUGAUGUGGUUUAAUUCGAUGCAACGCGAAAAACCUUACCUACCCUUGACAUGUCAAGAAUUCUGCAGAGAUGUGGAAGUGCUCGAAAGAGAACUUGAACACAGGUGCUGCAUGGCCGUCGUCAGCUCGUGUCGUGAGAUGUUGGGUUAAGUCCCGCAACGAGCGCAACCCUUGUCAUUAGUUGCUACGCAAGAGCACUCUAAUGAGACUGCCGGUGACAAACCGGAGGAAGGUGGGGAUGACGUCAGGUCCUCAUGGCCCUUAUGGGUAGGGCUACACACGUCAUACAAUGGCCGGUACAGAGGGCUGCCAACCCGCGAGGGGGAGCCAAUCCCAGAAAACCGGUCGUAGUCCGGAUCGUAGUCUGCAACUCGACUGCGUGAAGUCGGAAUCGCUAGUAAUCGCGGAUCAGCUUGCCGCGGUGAAUACGUUCCCGGGUCU